rnacentral:lncRNA from 1 species
UGGUGAUGGUCUCAUAAAGGAAUUGGGAAGUGUUUCUGCUUCUAUUAUAAGAAAGAUAUUUCUAGAAAAGUCAGCUACUGAAAUUUGUGAGACACAACUAAAGCAAUUGGUAGAGAGAAUUCUACUGAUUAAAAUGUGCCUAUUAGAAACAAAUGCUUAUGGGGGGCUCUCAGGUGAGGGGUUACGUAGAAGUACCUCUGAAUUGUCCAUCCUAGAACCAAGAGUUACUCAGACAAGAAACUGAAGUGACGGCUAAAGAAAACAAGGGAUGCUGACAGAGAGUGCAGCUGGCAAUCUGAGCUGAGGGAAGGGAGCAUCCCUGGGUGUGAAUGUCACAGAGACCAGGAGGGUCGCUGACACAAAGUGACAGUUACAGAUCUGAGGCAGAGGGAAAAGCAAGACCGGGAGGAUCCCUGACACAAAAUGACAGUUACAAGUCUGAGGUGGGAGGGGAAGGUCUAGCCUCCCUGUGAGUGAAAGCAGCUGAGAUCAGGAGGGUCCCUGACACAAAGUGACAGUUACAGGUCUGGGGGAAUCUGACAAGAGUAAAGGCAAUAAUUACAGAUUGGCAUGGAACUGAGAAACAACACACACCACACACACCACACCAUACACACACACAUCACACACACACACACCACACCACACCAUACACACACACAUCACACACACCACACCAUACACACACACACCACACAUACACACCACACACAUACCAUACACACCACAUACACACACACAUCACACCAUACACAUACACAUACACACAUCACACACCACAAACAUUUAAAAACUAUAAUCUUUAUUAGAAUGGACAAACAUCUCCCAUCAAAAGGAUGAGAAGAGGGUCCCCAGAGAUGGGAAUCUGCCGAGAGCUCUGGGUCCGACUUUCUAUAGAACCCAAGAGAGCUUCUCCUUCCCU